UACGAAGGGGGCUAGCGUUGCUCGGAAUCACUGGGCGUAAAGCGCACGUAGGCGGAUUGCUAAGUCAGGGGUGAAAUCCUGGAGCUCAACUCCAGAACUGCCUUUGAUACUGGCGACCUUGAGUCCGGGAGAGGUGAGUGGAACUGCGAGUGUAGAGGUGAAAUUCGUAGAUAUUCGCAAGAACACCAGUGGCGAAGGCGGCUCACUGGCCCGGUACUGACGCUGAGGCGGCGAAAGCG
rnacentral:rRNA from 1 species